rnacentral:tRNA from 1 species
GGGCCCAUAGCUCAACGGUCAGAGCAUCCGGCUCAAGGCAGCGAGUCUAAGUCGGGUUUCCGAUAUGACUUGGCUGUCAAGGGCUGCCUGGAGAGCAAUCUCCAGGUGAAACCUGCCAAAUUCGGGGAAGCCUAAACCGCAAGGCACGGUAAUCCCGAGCCAAGCCUCUCCGGUCGGAACCGGUGAGGAAGGUGUAGAGACUAGACGGCAGGCACCCUCCAACGAGGGUGAAGGGAUAGUCCAGACCACAAACCCGAAAGGGGCAACGAAAGUUGCAGUGGGAAGCAUAACCGGCUGGUUCCAGGUUCGAAUCCUGGUGGGCCCACCA